rnacentral:rRNA from 1 species
UACGUAGGGUGCGAGCGUUGUCCGGAUUUAUUGGGCGUAAAGAGCUCGUAGGCGGCCUGUGCAAGUCAGUUGUGAAAUCUCCGGGCUUAACUCGGAACGGUCAACUGAUACUGCUCGGCUAGAGUGCGGAAGGGGCAACUGGAAUUCUUGGUGUAGCGGUGAAAUGUGUAGAUAUCAAGAGGAACACCUGCGGCGAAGGCGGGUUGCUGGGCCGACACUGACGCUGAAGUGCGAAAGCUAGGGGAGCGAACGGG